CACCUUUGUAAAUCUAUUUUCAGUAGCAGACAUUUCUCUACUACUCUAUAAGGAGGCAACGAGGGCGUCCACCACGGCUCCACCCGACAUCACAGCAAUCCUCGCCCCAGCUCUCCUUUCCAUGCGUCGACGCCGCAAUCCCCGUCGUCCCGGCUCUCCUCGCCUCCAGAUCUUGCCCGCGGCCGUAAUCGCCGCCGCCCCGCUCUCCUCACCCCCAGAUCGCGCGCCUCCACUAUCGCUGUAUACCACGCUGCUGCAGCAGCAGGCGAGCAAGAGCCUCGCGUCCGUUUCUGACCUUGGUGAAGCAUGCCCCCGCCCGUCCUCGCCCCACACUCCUCUCUCCCUGCAAUCCCUGCUCUCUCUCGCCCCGGAUCGCCGCAAUCCCUCUGAUCCGCGUUCGCAAUCCCUGCUCUCCUCCGCCCGGAUCGCGCGCCCCCGCCUUCAUACGCACCCGCACAACCCCCUGCAAGCCCUGUGCGGUCCCCUUCAAGCCCCGCGUGUCCCACCUGCACGCGCACCGGCGCCGCCCCCGCCUGGACGCGACCCGCGCCCUCGCCUGACCCCUACUCGUGCCGUCGCUCGACCCCUGACGUGCGUGCAGGCGGGGGCUAUGUGGAUCACCUUCCAAACUCGGAGCAGGCGCGACACACGGCGACCUUCCAUGGUUGGUCGCCCCCUUCCAUGGAAGGCGAGAUCAGCGACCAUGGUAUACGCGUCCCAUUCCAUACUUAGCGGCCAUGGCAUGCACCGCGCCCCAUUCCUUCCGUGCCCCUGCCCCCGUCCUCUCCGGUGCGACCACCCCUGUCCCACAGCCCUCGGCAUCCAUGCCCACCUUCCAUCUGCGUCCACAAACGAGCCCGUGACCCUGCCUCUGUUCUCAUCGCAUCCUUGGCGCCCCAGCGUGUUCCCCAUCCCGCAGCCGUAGCCCCCGCCCCCACCGUGCGCGAAUGCCGGGCUAAAGGCGGGGGAGGUGAUGGUGGAGCACCUGGUCCACGUGGUCUGCCGGUGCUGGGCAGCGGAGACCGGCUCGAGGCCGGGCGUACUUACCUCAUCGUACCCGUCGACCGCCUCCCCUGCGGCGAGAUGGGCGGGGUCAUCACCGCGACGUCUCGUGCAGUAGGGACGACAGCGGGGAGAUGUCAAGAGGGGUUACCUCAAGACGGACGAGGAGUUCCCCAAGAGGGACGAGAGCAGGGGCACGUGCUGCGUCGUAGCCCUUCUCCGAAAGGGUGGACUGAUCGUCUCCAACGCUGGAGACUGUCAUGCGGUGCUCAGCCGAGCAGGGAAGGCAGAGGUGCUCACCUCUGACCAUCGGACCUCCCAGGAGGAUGAGAAGCAUAGAAUUGAGAAUUUGGUAUGCCCAGGAUGUCGUAUCCCUCCUCCUUUCUUUUGCAAACUCUGCUAAUGCAAUUGAACAAUGCACCGUAGCUGGAUCGGCUAGAUGAUUGAGCAAUUAAUUAACAAUCGAGAAUACAUGAACUAUACAUUGUUGUGCAAUCUCGCUUAUGUGCAAUCUCGCUUAGUACAUGCCAUCAAGAGAGAUAGGAAAGUUUUUUAUAAAGGUCUGUCUUUAUCUGAGAUUCUUAGUUUCUCAAACUCUAUUGUAUAUCUAUUUCUAAU
rnacentral:misc_RNA from 1 species